GACGAACGCUGGCGGCGUGCUUAACACAUGCAAGUCGAGCGGUAAGGCCCUUUCGGGGGUACGACGAGCGGCGAACGGGUGAGUAACACGUGGGUGACCUGCCCUCCAGCUCUGGGAGUAAGCCUGGGAAACCGGGGUCUAAUACUGGAUAUGACUCCAUGACGCAUGUUGUGGGGUGGAAAGCCUUGUGCGGCUGAGGAUGGGCCCGCGGCCUAUCAGCUUGUUGGUGGGGUGANGGCCUACCAAGGCGACGACGGGUAGCCGGCCUGAGAGGGCGACCGGCCACACUGGGACUGAGACACGGCCCAGACUCCUACGGGAGGCAGCAGUGGGGAAGUCUUGCGCAAUGGGCGAAAGCCUGACGCAGCGACGCCGCGUGAGGGAUGA
rnacentral:rRNA from 1 species